UACGGGGGGGGCAAGCGUUGUUCGGAAUUACUGGGCGUAAAGGGCUCGUAGGCGGCCAACUAAGUCGGACGUGAAAUCCCUCGGCUCAACCGGGGAACUGCGUCCGAUACUGGAUGGCUUGAGUUCGGGAGAGGGAUGCGGAAUUCCAGGUGUAGCGGUGAAAUGCGUAGAUAUCUGGAGGAACACCGGUGGCGAAGGCGGCAUCCUGGACCGACACUGACGCUGAUGCGCGAAAGCCAGGGGAGCGAACGGG
rnacentral:rRNA from 1 species